rnacentral:rRNA from 1 species
UUGAACGCUGGCGGCAUGGCUAAAACAUGCAAGUCGAACGCGAAAGGGAGCAAUCCCAAGUAGAGUGGCGAAAGGGCGAGGAAUAAAUUUCUACGUACCCUGAGGUCGGGGAUACCUCGGAGAAAUCCGAAUCAAUACCCGAUGUGGUCCGGGAGGAUCAAAGGCUUGCUGCCUCAGGAGCGGGGAAUUUCCUAUCAGGUAGUUGGUGGGGUAAUGGCCUACCAAGCCUAAGACGGGUAGCGGGUGUGAGAGCACGGCCCGCCGCAUCGAGACUGAGACACUGCUCGGACUCCUACGGGAGGCUGCAGUAACGAAUCUUCCGCAAUGCGCGAAAGCGUGACGGGGCAAUGCCGCGUGCAGGAUGAAGCCCUUCGGGGUGUAAACUGCUGUCAGGGGGCAGGAAUACAAUGACCAUACCCAAAGGAAGCACCGGCUAACUCUGU